CAAUGUGAAUUCAAAUUGGUUAUAAAUGAUUUCAGGUUAAUUAUAGAUGCACUUAUGGUUGAGCAUGAAGUUGGUUGAGGUUUAAAAUGCAAAAGUGAGACGAGCCUAUGCCAUUUUAAAGGAUUAAAGACGUACAAGUUAUUAUACAACAUGAUGGUUCGUGAUGAAGGAGCAGAAGUCGCUUGAAGUUUCGCGUCAGUAGUGUUAGUGUUACUUCAGAGGUAUAAGACGAGAAUUUUUUUGUAUCUUAUUCAAAGGAAAUUUUUAUUGUAGUAAUUUUAAUGUAUCCAUUGCCAAGUUUAACACU